ACUGCGGAGUGUACAAGAACCAGCAAGUAGAUAUGAUUUCGGUCAAACAAAAGCAUACACGAUGAAGCAGCAA
ncrna:unclassified sequences RAGATH-18 RNA